ensembl:lncRNA
CGCAAACUGAUCCAGAUUGUCCCUUCGGGAUGGGCACUACAAGCACAGAGUGGAGUUCUCCUAAGGGGGAAAAGGUGGCCAGGCGCAGCCAGGAUGGGAGACGUGCAUCCUUUUGCUCCAGCAAGACGUCGGUAACUGGUGCUUGAAACAAGACUUCAUUGCUGAGCUACAGGGAUUAAGGGAAGGGAUUUUAUUUGCCUGCUGCAGUUAGAUGCAGCGUCCUCAAGGACCCCAGAAUUUGCAUGGAAACAUGGAGGAGAGGAGAGAGGAAAUAACCUUUACAGAAAGAAAAUCAGUCAAAUCAUCUUUAUCAUUCAAACAAAAGAUGACAGGAAAUGAACAGGUGACUUCAAGGAUGAAAAAAAUACUCUUCUGCCAAUUCAAGAAAAGAUAAUGGAUGAGGUGUUACAGAACCUGUAGGUGAAUUUGAGUUUUCAUUAUAACCAUCUUUACCAAAGAUCUUUAUCAUGCAACAAACUACAUUUUGAGAACAAUGCCUGGAAUAAAGAGGGGAAGAAAAUGUUUAAUACUGUUACUUCCUCUAAGUAAGAUCACAGAAUCAUCGAAUCAUAAAAGGUUGGAAAAGACCUCUAAGAUCAUCAAGUCAGCCAUCAGCCAUCACCACCAUGCUCGCUUUGGAGGAUGCCAAAGCAGACACAGAACUGAACAGCAGUCUCAGAUUGUGAUACAUCAUGCUUUUAGAAUUGUUAUUCUCUCCUGAUUCACCUUGUUGCAACUGUAACGAUGCCUGUAGUCCCAGAAGUGGGAGCAAGAAGAGAUCAUUACAACUGGGGCAUUUAUUUCCUCUCUGCCUAUCAAAGAGAUGAGCCUCUGGACAGCAAAUUUAGUGGUAUUUUACUGGAUACAGAUGCAGAGCACUGCACAUCUCUUCUUCCUGCAAUAUAACAGCAGUGGAGAGUUCAGCUGAGAGAACAAACUUUGAGAAGAUAUCUCACUCCUGUAGGACAGUGAAAUAGUUGUCCAAAUCACAAUGUGGGACUCAGAGCCAUGGCCUAGAACAAGAGAAGGGUAUAUACCUUGUCUUUCUUAUUCUUACAAGGAAAGAUCAAGAUACAUCCAUAUGUGACUUUUGACAAUUCAAGAAAGAAAACUUCAAAUGCUCAGGUGUUUGAUCUUUAUUUUUUUAUAACCUAUCAAAACCACAGGAUCUGUAAGCAUUCCUUCAGCCCUAAAUGGUUUCUUUCUCUUUUCCAUUUUUCAUAUAGAAUCAUAGAAUCAUAGAAUGGCCUGGGUUGAAAAGGACCACAGUGAUCAUUGAGUUUCAACCCCCCUGCUAUGUGCAGGGUUGCCAGCCACUAGACCAGGCUGCCCAGAGAAUUUUUUUAUUCCAGUAAAGGAGGAGGCCUUUCUUUUGUUGAGAAACCAAAUGUAAAAGAGUAGAAGAUUUUUACAAGAAGCAAACUUGUAAAAAUGGCAUCCUGGGGUUCCCCAUUUGUUACAUUGCAAUUGUUUCUAGAUCAAACCUGUUCAGUUCAGCACUGAAAGGAUGGGUUUGCUGCUGUCCAUCACUGAGAGCUCUACUAAAGUAAAGCCUGAUACUUUCUGGGUCAUACUCUCUAAAAAUAAGUCACAAUGGGAAUGCUAAAAAAAACUAACUUACAACAUGUGAAUCAGAACUCCAGUUGCCUUCUACUUCUGCAGGGCUAAGAAAAACCCCUCAAGUACAGCAAUAGGUUAUUUAAAGACCGAAGUAAAUAGAUCUGACUGCAAGCAGACACAGGAAACAGAUCAAUGUCUCAUGAUGAUGAAAUCUAUGUAGUAAGUUUUGACAAGAGCCACAUGCUGGGGCUCAUCCAACAGGGAUCUUUCCACCAGGUAUUUGUUGAAACCUAUAAAGAUGCAGAUUAGCUUCAGUUGAUGCAGGGAAGUGAUUUUUUUUUCAUACAUCCUAUAAACUUUUAUAUUUUUGGCGGGGAGACUGAAAGUGCAUGAAUGCAUAGUAUUUUUUGCAGGCAGACAUAGCUUUAUUCCAAUCCUACCUCAGACUCUCAACCUUUUAUCUCUUAGACUUACUGCCAUGCCAGCUGUGGUUACAUGACUUCCAGUUUGCUUGGAUCAGGGCAGAGACAGGCUAUGUGUGCUUGUCAAACACAAAUACGUGCUAGAACCUGCAGCUAGAGUCCAGGAAAAGGUCUUUGACAUAACAAACAUACCUGUGUAGUCCAAGACCUCCACAGCUCCAAGAUGUACUACUGCCAUGACCUCAGAUUGUUGCUAUGAUGCUUUUUAUAGGGAUUUGAUGACAUCAGCUAGCACUAAUGUGAUAUUUUCCUAAGAGCUGUAGUAGAGGUAGAUGUGUAAAGUCAAAGCUUCUCUCUCAUAGCACUGGACCCACCUGGUGAGUACAAGGCUCCCUCAGGGCAAUGCCAUUUGUACUUUGAUCUGUGUUCAUGAGCACCAGGGCACACAGGAGCCCAGGGAGAAGGGCUGCCCUGGUUUCUUUCUAUUCUUCUUUGGUGUCAGCAUGCUCACCAUGUUGCUGCUCCUCACAAAAACUCAUCAGCUGGAAACAUGUCUAGAAAUGAAGCAGAGCUCUGAAAGCAACACUACUGCAUGCAGGACUGAGCAGCAGCUCCCAGUUUCUGCAAGUUUUUGGUUCUACUCUGUCAACCACCUUAGAACCAAAUUUGUAAAGAAAUGUAGAGGAAAUGAGAAAUUAAAAGGCCAAAUCUGGAAAAAAAAAAAGUCUUCCACUUCUGUUACUCAAACACUUGGAGAGAAGCCAAAAGGCAGAUACAGUAAUAAUACAACUUUUGGAAAAUGUGGAAUAAUAAUAGAAGCUAGAUUUAUUUAGAUCUCCAAUGGUGGAGACUACCUAGACCAUAGAGCAGAAGGGAUUAAAAAAAAACAACCACAUACUCUGAUAUUUGAGAUUUUUGUUUUUAACGUAUCAGACAAAACCAUUGUGAGAUUGAGAAUGGAAGCUGAAGCCUACACAAAGUCAGACUGGAAGAAAGGUGACAACUUUACCUUGAUAACAGCCCAUCACUGCAGGAAUAUCUCAUGUAUGGUUUCCCCAACAGUUAAUCUUUAAAUUUUUUAAAAUUUGAUUUCUUUAUAAAAGAUAGGCUUUUAUUUACUAUUUUAGUCUGGCCUGUACUAUGCAGGAAGCCAGAUUAAAUCAUCAUAAUAUUCCCUUCUAGCCUUAAUCUACAUAUGAUUAAAACAUAUUAUGUAGUUACCUGUCCAUAUAGAGAUGACCAUCUCCUCCCCACUCAAGUUGAUAUUUUCAAGCCACCAAAUGAAACUAGCCAAGACAAAGUGUGCUUGAUGAAACGGUGCUGCUGUGUGACAGUCAUGUGUCUGUGGGGAUGUCAGUGAGUAAAUCUUGAGGCUGAAAUCCUAAAGCACAAAAGAUACACAGCCAGCGUGGUGUCCCACAGGUGGGUGCAGGUGUGCCACACUCUGGAGGGGACAACCAACCCUUCAGGCCCUUCCUGUAUUCCACCAGUCCUCUGUGAAUAUUGGAGAUGAAAUUUUUGUACACUUUCACAGUAGCAAUCACUGUGAACCUGAGCUCAUUUUCACAAACAAAGCAUGCCCAAUCAACAGUCUCAUUUUUUUUUUCCUGCUUUAUGGAUGUUGAAGCAACAAUUUUGUGCAAAAGGUACAGGUGGGUUUUACGCUCCUGCUGGGCCCCAUGGUAGAGACUCACACAACAAAGGCUUGCAGGUGUUUCCUAUAUCUUUGUGGUUAUUUCUUUCAAACAGCAUCUGUUGAAAUGCAUCUUGCCUCCUGCUUAAAAAAGCCCAAUGCUUGGCAAUGCAGGGUGCUUGCCUUAGCUUUAACUGCCCACCCACACUGAACAUUUUAUGUUAUUUAGAUCGACCAGGGGCACAAUGAGAGCCUUUGACCAGCAAGACUUCCCUUCAGAGUGGGAGGCUCUGGAGGGGGAAAGGUGACCCAGAGAUGUGGUAACAUUUUUCACCUCCACUUCUCUUUCCAGUCGGGCAGCCCCGUCAUAGUUGGCACUGACCGCACUACCACCUGCUGCGUUCCAGCAGAAAUCCACACAAAACCUGGCUUGUCUUUGGGUAAUUGCACUUGUAAAGUAGAAGCAGCUCAUUUAAGCACUACACACGGCAUCUUAUUAAGCACCUCGUGAUACAUAAAAUUAAGACAACUGAAAGAAAAUUUCCGAAAAAGCCUUCUAUACGGUUUGUGACCACAGCUUGAUUUGUAUCUGGUGAAGUUUUCCUGGGUGAUGAGUCCAUAAUUCCCAUCACCUUUUGGAAAAAGUCUGAUUUAACUUUAUUUUGCUUCAAUAAUAACUACUAAUGUUGUGUUAACCAAUCAAAAGAGAACAAGUGGUCAAAGCAAGACCUAGAGAAACAGACCCAGAACACAUCUAACCUGAAGUAGAUGUAGGUUGAACAUGAUUUGGUUCUGAAUUCUCAGCAUGAGCUAUAAGUAAUUAUAACUAAAUCCCCUGGGCAAACUGAUCUACGUGUGGUGGCCCCAUUCAAUGCAGGGGAGUUGGACUAAAUGGCCCUUGGAGGUCCCUUCCAACUCUAAGGAGUCUAUGAUUCCAUGAUUAUGAUUCUAAUUCAGGCAUGCAAAGUGGUCUGGGAGGGAACUGGAUGUCAGGUGGUAGCACUGGGCAGUACAAUCUACCUCGAUCUGUGAAUUUCAUUGUAGGAAGAGCAUUAUGUUGUUUUGGUGUUUGUUUGUUUUCCUUAUUUUUUUUUUUAAUUUCUUUAUAGUUUCUUUUUCUUUAAGAUAUGAUUUAGAAACCACUGGGAGUUACUUGGAUGCUGCCUUCCAAAUUCAGUGCUUUUAUUUUUUAAUAUUGUAGUGGAAAUGCUAAGUCACAGCUUGAAGCAGUGAUUGAGCACCUGGUGGAAGGCAGGGCCAACUCAGGUGAGCUCAGGUGCAUGCAAUGCAGCUGAGUGAUCAGAAGGACUGGAGCCAGGAUCCACCCCUUCCCAGCCCUCAUUUAAGGGUUGGCAGUGGAGGCAAGGAUAUCUUCCUAGAGUUUUCUACCUACCUGAGUCUUUCCAAAGGUAAGCAGAUUUAUUUAUUUGUGUAUUUUUCUUUGUUUCUGAUCUAUGGCUGCUGCAUUUAGACUUGUUCUCAUUUGCUGUAGCUAAAGUCAUUGCUACCCUGCUAUUAUUGCUGUAUUUUCCAUCACAUUAUAGUGUUACAAAUAUCAUGAUGCACGGGAUAGGCCAGCACUUGCCAAACUAGCCCGUUCCUUUAGAAGCAGGGCCCCAAACCAGGAAGAACCUCACUAGCACCUAAUUGCUCUUGGAAAAUAAAGAUUUUGCCUCAUGUUUUCUAUGCUCUGCCUAACAGCAUGGUAAGUUCUGCUUCUCAUGCAUGAAGAGAGAUUAACAAGUGCUUUAGUACCCACCCUGUCUUCAGACAGCCCUAUAUAAAUAGGUGGGGAGAAUUGCCACCUGGUGCCUACCUCUUUGCCUAGGAUAGGUAGUUUGUUUGUAAUAGACUUCUAACGUUUAAAUAGUUAAUGGUUGGUGAAGGAAGUACCAUCUUUACUGAGUAGUUUUAAAAGUUUUUAUCUGUUUCAACAGCCCAUGAGCAAAGAGCACUAGUAACUAUUGACAUCUACCAGCGUGCUCAUGACCUGGAAGAACACUACUCCAAAGUUUCCCUAGGAGAGUAAUCUAAAGGUUUUUUUCCCUCAUAACUGGCUGAGAUAGGAAUUUUAUUUUAGGUACAAUAGACUCCUUGAAGCGUACAGCUCUGUAGAGCACAUACUUGUUAUUCUGCACAAAAAAUUGUAUUUAAUUCACUUCUGGGUCUGUUAAUUCCAAGCAGCAGCUAGACCCAAGAAUGAGGGCUUUUAAUGUACUGGGAUGUUACAUAUAGGACUCCUAAAUUCUCAAACUCUUUUAUAAUUUUUCAGAAUGGUAUUGCAAAUAAUAGAAGUUUAACAAGAGCUGCGUGGGCUAAAUUAAGGUGGUAUAGGCACCUACCAGGCUAUAAGGUGCUUCUAACCUCUGUGUCCAUAUUCGUGAAACUAGGCUACUAACUAAAUGCAUUAAUCACACUAUGUGCCAGAAGGGUAAACUUUGGUGUUUUGUGUAUCCUCAGAUAUUAUUUCUUAACAAAGACUAAAAUAAUUGGAAUUGAUGUAUUGUUAGAUUGAUGAAUAGCAUUAAUCUUUUCCUCAUGGCAUAAUCUUUUCUGCAUGGCUUAAACAUAGUUUUGAAGACUUUCACCUUUUUCUCUUGUUUUUUUUUUUUUUUCUUUACAUCUCAGGCCUAAGUAUUUUAAUGAUGAUAGGUACUUGUACUUUCUUAAUACGAAGCAUUUAGUAGCUUUUUAAAAUGUCAUUUUAUUCACAAUGUACAGGUCAACUGCAUUUAAACAACUGCUAGAUAAACUGCCCAUAACUUGAAAUGCUGGAUGAAAAACAUAUGUUGUACUUCCUCUACAAAGUUGUUCUAUAUCAUUUUUAACCAAGUUUUGGAUUGAAGAGGUGAAUUAUUGCACUGCAUACAACUACGGGCCACACACUCAGUGCUGCCACCCAUAAACACCUUACCUCAUAUUGAAGGACUGGUGACACAAGGCUGUACCCAACAUCAUGCAGGGCUGUGUGAUGACUGAUUCCAGUGAAUGAAAGGUAAUGUUCAUAACCACAGGCUCUUGACCUGGUGGUGACCCACUCACUCUCCUUUUAAGAGGCUUCUAUGAGGGGAAGAAAACCCACACCGGAGCACUUGUUUGGGUAGUUUUCUGAGAGGCACGGGGAAUCUCAUUAGCCUUGAAAGAGAUUUUCCUGAAUCUAAGUAAGGUUCCUACAUUUUUUUGGAUUCAUUGUGCCUUUGUAGUUAAAUUAACCAGAAUAGCUUUCAGAUGCCUGUGCAGCCAUUUAGGAACAAUAGUGGCCAUUCUGUCCCGAGAUGCACUAAAAGCAUGGAACAGCUCUUUCUGUAGUAUGAAAGCAAACAUAGUGCUCGAGUGGUCUGGAUGAACACUGAAACACUUGGAACAAUAUAACCUAGGGGUUACCUCAGCCAUCUUAAACACCGCAAAAUCUCUCCUGGAUGGCUGUAAUUGGAAAAACAGCACAAGACAAAGGAACUAAAGAACUAGCAGUGGGGGAAGUUAACUCAGGUAAAAAAUAAAUCUAACAAGAGAAGAUGGAACUGAAUUGACUGUAAAGCCAGACAGUUAAAACUUCACAGAGCUCACUGAUGGAACAACAAACAUAAGACAAGGAAAAAUAGUAUGGGAAAUAUACAAGUUAACACUCUUGGAAUAUGAAGUGAAAGCAGGUAUCCAAAGGUGGUAGAGUCACUGAAAGGGCACUUUUACACACGUUCCCCCUCAGAGGAAAUCCUACUGUUAUUUCUGAGUGAGUCAGCCAGGGCUUAUUCCACAGAAUGAGCACAUAUGUUGCAGAAAGCCUUCCCAGUGAAAUGCAAUGAAGAUGGAGCAAUUGGGGUGAUGGGCACCAGCUGAGGUCUGGGCAGUGCCUUGGUUCUGCCAUGGGAGGUUCUGCCACCCAGCUGCACCCAGUAGCUGCAAGGGCAAUGUGUUUGUCUCUGGGAUUUAUGCUUUGAUUGAUGUGUGCUUAGGUCUGUAUUUAGAAGAGUAGGAGACAGAAGAGGAAUUAAGCAAAAAAUGUAAGGAUUUGGGGGCUUUCAGUACAGGUUUAAAGAUGAGAGAAAAGAAAACACAGAAAGACAAUAAAAUUCCUCAACAUGUUAGAACAUAUCAAAAGGUCUAUAUAGAAAGAAUACACAGCCAUUGCGUGGUUCAAGUCAGCCAAUUUGUUCAGAUGUUGAUAAGAGCUAUGCUGCUUUCAGUAAUAUAAGAAGCACAAUGCCUUACUGCCAUUGAAAUUGGUCCCCCUCAAAGUUCAUGCUUAGGUCUGAGAAACUGGCUAUGUUUUUUUAACAAGCAGUGUAGAGGGGACAGUGAAUGUAAUGGUGGCAACCACCUUGUGUCUUCCCUUCCAGGGAGCAGGUGUCAAGGAUGCUGAAGGAGGAGAAGGGAUGUGACAGCUGUCUGCAGCUCAGGAUGCAUUAAGUGAUGACUGGGUGGUCUGCGGUACGAUCUGGGACAGAGGAACCACGCAGAGAGCACAGAACACACAGGGCAGAAAGAUUGAAACAUGCUAAACCCUUGAAUACCCCCCAUGACAAAAACACAAGUGAAAUAUUGUCACAACAUUUUAUGUAUUAGUUUGGACAGGAAGAAGAUGAUUUGUAAAGGGAUAUGUUUUCACAGGUAGCAUUACACACACACCCCACUUUCCCAAAUUGUUUUUAAUUGGCUUGCAAUCAGUUUUGUCUAGUCUCCCACCUGUCAGCCAUGAAGACCAACUUACUCCAUCAAAGUCCUGUAACUUUGUGAAGAACACAUUUCUGAGCAAGUCCUCUCCAUAAUGUUACAUUUAUGUUGUGUGGCACCUCGAGCAAUGCUUUGUGCUUUCCCUGUUUCAGAGCUUUGUGAACAGAAUGUCUGGACCUGCAGAUGUUCACCCUCCCACGAGUGCUGGCCUCUACUGCAAAUUCUUGUUGCUGUCUUGUCCUUGGGAAGAGCCUUAGAUAUACAGGCUUAUCAUAGUGAUUUAAACACAGCUACCUGCGGAUGUGAUGGAUUUCCUUUAUUUGCAGUCUCCCAGUCAAGACUAGAUGGAUAUCUAAGAGGCAUGUUGUAGCUCAAACAGAGAGAGGUGCUUGGUGCAGAAAUUAUAGGGUCAGAUUCAAAGGCUGGUGUUGUGUGGGAGGUCAGGCAAGGUGAGUGUGUACUUCCAACCACUGCAUCUACACUGUAAAUUUCAAAGCUGUCUGUAAAACUAGGAAAUGCAGAAGGAAUUUAAUGCAAAGCGUUUACCUUUCCUUUUGUCUGAGAUGUAACCCAACGUUUUGCCUUUCCACCACAUCAUUGUGAAAGGAAAUUAAUUUCCCUGCUCACUGAUUAUACUGGAACUAUUUAAAGCAAAUUCUCAGCUACCACAUACUUGAUCAUAGAAACUUUCUUAACCCCAAAGCUCUCUCGUUUCAACGCUUUCCUCCAACAAGAACUCCACCAGAAACAAAAAUAACUUCUCUUUCUAACCUUUCAACCCAGGACUCCCUACUCAGCUUUAAAUGCAAUCCCAAGGAAGAGAAUUUAUCUAUACUUUUUCUUCCUUUAGGCAGUUACUCACCUGUUUUCAUCUGGCCUUUCUUCAGCCUUGAGCCUGGAAGGAGCAGGUUCACACAGUGCUCAGAGUAUCAACAAAUGAAGGGGGGACUGCCUGCAGAGAAGUGUAGGCCUGAGUUUGUUAAAUCCUCAGAGAAAGGAUGGAGCAGAUAGAUAUAUGCAUAAGGCAGGCAGAAUUGAUAUUAUUUAUUCCUCUUUGGCAGAGUCUGGACAGAAGAGACAGUAGAAAGUACGUCCAUUUCAUCAGACUGGAUGUGUUCAAAGGUGAUAACAGAAGCUGAAUGAACUUGGCUGCCACUGUCCCCGCCUACAGCCAAAGACUGAAUUUGGUGAUGGCCCUCCUUGAGUAGAGCCAAGUGGUGCUCCAUAGCCAAGACUGUCAGCCCAAAAGAGUUGCUGAUCAGCCUGGUCUCAUGUUCCAAGAAUGAAACCCUGGCAUGGAAGUGGCAUAUCUGCCAGUUAAUGUCAACAUUUGAUGUGCAGUCAGAGAGCAAACAAGGUUUCAUAUUGUGGUAAAAAGGGAAAUACUGUUUGCUUUAAUUCUAGUUUCUUUGUGUCAGAUGUAUUAAGAGUCUCAUAAAAUAGUGAAAGAAUUUCAUUCUUACUUACAAUUAUAAGAAGCAUAUAUAUAUAUAUAUACACACACAUAUACAUACACACACAAUAUACCUACUUCUACAAGUACAAACAAAAUGUAAAAUCUAGCUAGUAAUGAAUAGCUUGAAACAUCCUUUUCAGAAAACAUUAUAAUACAAGACUCCAGUGACUUUAUCUAACGCUCAGUUACUAAGACGGGGAAGAGAACACUUAACUGUGAAUGAGCUUCCCUAUAGCAAAAGGAAAGUGCUCCCAGACUGAAAAAUAGGCAGGGACAGACUAAGAUAUCAUGUAGAGUGGGUACAGCUUGCUGUCCAGCUCUCACCAGCCAUGUGUAUAUGACAGUUAAUCCAUGUGCUUUAUUGUCCUCCAGUCUUCUGGAUGAGAGAUCACAGGAGAUCACAUUUCAAACAGUGAUGUCCCAAGUGUGGGAAGAACAGAGCAAUGGGACUCUCACUGCUGUAGGAGGCAGUGCUCAGCACCACAGGAGAUAGUCCUGAGCUCCCAAGGACAAUAAUUAAUGACAACCAGCACUGGCACAGCACUUCUGUUGAGUCUCAGAGCAGAAACACCUGCAGCAUAUCCCACCCUGGCAGGGAAAUGGAGCUGGUGACCUAACAAUCUUUCCCACCUCUAACUUCUGGGGCUUUAUGAAUCGUCAGUCACACCUAGGUGUGAUAUCGCUAUAAAAUCCCAGUCACGUAAGAGAGCUGGCAGGAAGCUCUGGCUGUGCAACUCUGUGGUUUUAUGCUUAGCUGUGUUCUAAAUACUGAAAGAAUGAAGUAGACUUUCAAGCAUCAGCGUUGACAGUUGCUUUCAGAGAUAUUCAAACAAACAAAAUCCAGUCACCUAGACAGCAAAACCAGCUGCAGCUUGGGCUACAGCACAAACGUGACUUUUUGUUUUAAAAAGAAAGCCAUCACUAUCUAAAUGCCACCUGUGGUGUGGUGUGACUAAUACUGCUCUUCUUCAAGAGGUUGGCAAGGGCCUCUUUAUAGACUCAUAAAACCAUAGAAGCAUUUGGGUUGGAAAAGACCUUCAAGAUCAUUGAAGUCCAACCAUCAAACUCACCUACCAAGUGCCACCACCAAACCAUGUCCCUUAGUGCUGCAGAACAUCCCCAGAGGAAACAUGAGCACUGUGCCCAGCGCCAGCUCUGUACUUCACACAGAGGGUGGUGAUGCACUGAACAGGUUGCCCAAGGAGGCUAUGGAUGCCCCAUCCCUGGAGGCAUUCAAGGCCAGGCUGGAUGUGGCUCUGGGCAGCCUGGUCUGCUGGUUGGCGACCCUGCACACAGCAGGGGGUUGAAACUAGAUGAUCACUGUGGUCUUUUUCAACCCAGGCCAUUCUAUGAUCCUAUGAUUGACUAUGGACUAUGGGUGACAUCUACCUGUGAUUGCUGCCAUCUUAACACUAGGGCAGAGCUCAGUACAUUUCUCUACAUGGUGUGUUGCAAUAGGAAAGUUUCUUUCCUUCUCCUCCUCCAAAGUCCUGCAACGGGAAAAGAAAACAUGGGAAACCGUGUCUUCAAAUCAUACACCCAUACUUCAUCUCAUUGUAUAAUCAUCACAAAAAUCUGGUGGUGAGCUGUACUGUAUCUGUGUUUUGUCUGGAGGUUGGAAGUGGUUUUAACGAUUUAAAUCAUGGUAAAGAAAAGGGCCACUCAAAACACAGAGCUGGAAAGCAGAACCGCUUCGGUGUCUGCAGUAUUCUAAACUAGAUUUUGGUCCAGGUCCUGCUCCACUGUGUCCUCGUGUUGGGAAAGUAUAUUCAGAGCUGACAUGGCUUUCCCAGGUGUUUUCUACUGGGACAAAGUGCAGAGAAUGCAGUUAAUCACGAGUGCAUUCAAGUGUCCUAAGGUCUUUGGGUGAAAGCUGUUAGAGACAUUGAAAAAGUGUUUAAUAAUCACAGCCCCAUGUCCUCAGCACAGGCUUUUUGGGUUCACAAAAGUUCAAACACCUUUUAAGAAAUUUAGGCCAAAAUGUAAGCAGGCCAGAGCCAUGCAGCAGUUCCAAUGGCAACGGGGACAGCGCUUUGUUGAACCAUUUUCAGGAUCAUGACUACUGGGUAAGAUGCAUGCUGAGUGGUGCUGCUUUUAUAAACCACAGCAGGCACAAAGGUACUGUGUGCAGUUUCCUAUAGUUGACAUAAAGAUAUAUACAUUUUUCUUUUCAACAGUCUCACUUCUACACAGUUUCAAUUAGAAGUGCAUAUAACAACAAUCCCCAAGAAGAUUCAACAUUGGGUCUUUCAACUGACUGUCAACACAUCCUGUUCUUCCUCAUUUGCAAUACUUGUCCCUAAAAACAAACUGGACAUAAAAGGUACCUGUUUUUUUCAGCAAAAAUGAGACUCAUGGAUGAGAAUUAAGAAAACACAAGUUUUGUAGCAACUAUGAAAGCUGCAACCUCAGCUAAAAGAAAACAUAAAUAUUUCCCUGCUCUCUAUUUUCCUGUCUUUCCAUUGGUUCCUCGGACAAUCCUCGGGGAUAGUAUUGAGGCAUACACACACUUAAUUGCAUGCAAGAGGCUGUUAUUGUGCUAUUGCACUGUAUGGAGUGCUAUGGCCGAGCAAGGGAGAUGUGAAACUCACUACAGAUAAAGGAAUUUCUUGCCAAAAGAAAGGAAAAGAUAGCAUCUAUUUCCUAUAAAGAGAGGCAAUUGGAGAGCUGCCUUAUGUUAAUUUGAUUCUUAGAAAAAGGAUAAAAUCACUACAAAUGAAACAGUCACACCUCCUGUAACGAUUUCCUGUUUUGUUUUGCCUUUUUCCCUAGCUUAAGUCUAUACUUAUGAAAUGCUUUUGGAUUAUGUAAAAACAUUGCAGAGGAUUUUAUUGCCUCUUGUUGUACUGGCUAAGAGUUACCCAAACCAUCCACAGAUGGAAGAAGAAGUGGUUAUCUGCAACUUCUGGAGUAGCUAGAAGGAAGUGGUGUUCUAAACUAUGGUUAUUUAACCAAAGGAGCUCAAAAUGAGUGGGAAAUACUUGUGUUCCACACAGCAUUAUUGUACACUACGUAUCAAAUACAACCAAUAGAGAAAGACAAAUAACCUGGGAAUGGCAAACGCUUCCAGUGAAUUACAAAUAUGUUUUAGAGUGACCUGAAUCGCAUUUCAAAGCGCUCAGAAUAUUAUCCCACUAAUUCAAGUGUUUACCGUGGAUCCAGUCUCACUGCCUCCAUUCAUGUGAGCAGUCCCAUCCAUAGCAAGAAGACUGCAGAGGUAAAGGCCAUUCCUGAGUACCCAUUUUCAGAGUACCCGCUGUUCUUUCCUUACAUGCUUUAAAAUUAAAAUGUUACAUUUACAGUCACAUUUUCUAUCGCAAAGAGUUUUUCAAACAGUCUACAUCUCCUACCUGGUUAAUCUUUACAGAAAAGAUCCAUCAUAAACACAGACAUUACUUUUUGACAAACAUUUGGAUUUUUUUUCAACAGUUUUUCUUUGGGUCAGAAAAUGAAAUCAUUAUUUUAAUGUCAACAUGUAAACAACAAUAAAAGUCUUUAAACUAUACCAUCAUAUUUUUUAAUACAAAGGAUCGCAAUACCUCUUCAAAGGCUUUCUUAAUCAAUGGCCAUAAAGCUUAACGACUCGUAGGUGUUAAUAUUUCUGCCAUGUUUUGCAUACAUACAUACGUGUCAUUCCUAAGGCCACAAAAGAGGUCAGCGCCAACCAGCGAAAAAGCUCUGAAUUUCUACCUUCCAUAUUUCCACCAACAAAUAGAUACUGAUAUUUGUAUAUAAUCUGUUAAGAUAAAUUCUAAAAGAAGAAAGAAAGGAAGAGAAGGAAGGAGAGAAAACAACCCCAGGGAUUUACCUACAGAGCUCAAAUGACUUCCAGGCAUCCAGCGUCAAUAAUAUACACAUACUUAUACAGGUACCAACAUGAGAUGUGAUUAUUCAGUAUUCAGAGUUCUUAGCUUUGGUCAGUCAAACAGUUAAACAAGUGCUGAAAUUGGAGUGUGUGUGAGGAGCCCUAGUGAAACAUCAGAUGACUGCGUGCCAACUACUUAAGGCUCUACAUACCGCUACUGCAGAGCGUGCUUUUGCUGCUAGUCAGCUAUUUUCAGGAUUUGAAGUUAAAACACACAUUGAGCACAGUUUCAGUUCUUUGUUACUCCACUGCAGCAUGGGAGGUGAAAAAAACCUCAAAAUUCUCUACUGCUAUCCCCAGUGCAGAUCAGACAGUGAUGUCCAUGGCCAAGACUGAAACUCAUAGCAGGUAACCCAUGAGAAGUACGUGUUUACAGCCUCUAAAACCCCAAACUGCAAUGGCAAAGGCAACCAAAGUUCUUAGGAAAGUUCCUGGAGUUUAGACACAGACUAGACUGCAGAAGCUCCAUCCUGCACUAAAACUCAGCUACUCUUUUAUCCCACCCUACUCAAUGGACGCAUCAAACAGGCAGCAGCAGAGCACCCUCCAGGUAAGACCCCCUGUGAAAUACUGCAAAGCAAGAAUUCCUGUCUGCUGUCUUCACCACGGGUCCAGCCAACUACUUGCUUUACCUUCCAGAAAUACUUAUUAUUAGAUGGAAUAGGUCCAUUAGAAGAGGUCGGAUAAAUCCUCUCCCAAAAAAGAGCCGUCCAGUGACAAAGCACUGCCUCCAAAGACAGAUGGCGGAGGGCCACAUCUUCUCACAGAAACAGAGGAGUGUCAAAGGGCCACUGUUCUUACAUUAUCUCAUGAUUUCAAAUAACCAGAGUCAAGUGCCAUAACAUGCCAGGACCAAAGCUUUUCCUCAUAGGGUCAGAGGAGCAGGAUGCCCCGGAGGCUGUGCUGUCUCCACUCUGAGAGUUUCCAACACCAGACCGCACAAAACGCAGCUGCAGCCUCCAAAUGACCAUUGUAAUGAAAUAUUGUAUUUUCAAAUGCAUAUUUUAUAGAAGCAGGAAAUGUUUUUCACCUUCGUUCUUUCCACUAGCUCAGGAACAUGCUUUUUCCCUCUUAACAAAAGCUUUUAGCAGUUGAGAUGUAUAAUCUGCGUGGAGGAGUUUAUGGCUGCACAAGGCAUAAUGCCUGGAUGUCAACUGAGACUCAAAAAGCAAUGUCUUUUCAGCUGCACUAGAAAAUGUACUUGAUACAGACAGUGAACAUAUUUAAUGCAGACAGAAAAUUAUACUGUGGGAGACCAUGAGAAGCAAGCCCCUUACUCUGUUGCCCUUGGACAAUCAACCUACAAUCAGCCCUGUUCUUAGCAUGUCUAUGUCUUUUUUUAAGAAAGCCUUGUCUGGUGUAGGUUACAAAAUCUGCCUUGGCAUUUUUUUUACUUCAGGAUGCCAAAUGACAAAGAUAUUAUCACACAUCAUGUUGGUUUGGCUCUGAGAUUUGAUAUGUGUCUUGUUCUUAGUCUAGUUUUUUCUUCUUUGUCACACUUACGCUAUCCAACUGGAGACUGCACACCAACCUCAGUAGACGUGUCUACAUGCUGACUCACUAAGUCACAUAUAUUUGGAAAUGUAUUAGCUGGCAGCUAAGGAGUUUUUCAUCUAAGCAUUGAAUCUCUUGAUCAGUAGGAGCUGAACAUUCUCCUAGCAGGAGAUAAUUAGCAUGGACAAGUAGGGGCAGGCUAUCAGCUACAGACACUAAAAUGCGUAUUACUUGUUGAAGCACGAGUUACUCUUGCUCUUGGAUUGCAUUAUCUCAUACAUUCCUCUCUUGAAAGCUUCCUUUUAUUAAGUAUAUACCAUGUAUGCCUUAAAGCUAGCACUCCCUUUUUGGCUUGAUCCAGUUUGGACUCUGGAUAAACCACUUCAGAGAAAACUUCUGGAGAUGAUGAGAAUAGUAUUGGCUAAUGCCUUGUGCUCCCAACCUUCACUUCAUAUCCCUGUGCUGGCUCAAACUUUGUUGAUCUGGUUACAGGAUCACAAGCAGAUGUUGCCAAAGUCUUUUCUGAUCUACUGAGUCAGCAACUCAAGGUGUAAUAGGGUUUAAGCCUGAGUCUCCAUCCCAACUGCUGAAGGAAAUGGGGGGAGAAAGCGAAAGAGGCCAGAAAGGGGAACUUCAGUUAGAAACGACAAGAAAAUAGGAAUUCUGAAAAACUAUUAAGAUCAGAAAAACAAAUGUUAUCUGUGGAUUCCCACCCUCCCCCCACAAAAAAAUAUGCAGCCGGGAAGCAAAAACUUCAGGCCAUGUACUCACGCGGUGGUGAGGUGCUCACAGGAAGGUGGGACUGCUGGGCUGCCCAUUUGGUGUCCUCACCUGGCUGAGUUGCAGUCCUAAACAAAAGUCUCAGUCAGAAUCAGCUGCACUGCUAUGGGAAAAAAAAAAAUCAGUCCAAAGAAACUGCAUUUUCUUAUCAAAAUGAUAUAUUUUAUUCAGCUUUCACCUGCUGACCUGCCCGCUCCAGCUGAGGGUUACAGAAGAGAAGACUCUCCCUGGACCGUGAGAUUCAACAAACACCUCUCAACAGAAAUACAGGCUUGUGGACUGAUCAGAAAGUGACAAAGUAUUUCUAGUACAUAACGUAAAAGGUAUUAACUUGUAUUGAAACAUGAAUUGAGCUUCCAUUUUAACCACUGAUAGCCAUUAGAAAGAUAACGGGUCAUCUUAUUCAUUACGUCUAGAAAGACCCUCAGAAUGUGCUGCUAAGGACAGGUUGGAGUGAUUGCUUUCUAUCAAUUAGCAGCAUGGGACAUGUUCUAAAUGUAGCCUAGUCUAGACUUUCCUGCUUUGGGUAGAUAACACAGCUGAUAUCACACAAGACUGUUUGAUGAGAGUCUUUACAGAAAGAAUCACUGCUGUGGGAAGUUCAGAUAUGAUUUUCAGCUGCUGAAAUAAGAUCAGACUGAAAAUCUCAGCUCAGCUCUCAGAUCAACACGGGUGAAACAAUGCCUUCCUGAAGGCACAUCUACGUGGGGAGGAACCAGCAACCAUUCAGCAAAACUCAAAUGCAGUUCUUCAGUGGGGGGCUUUCAUUCCCCACUGUGCCUGUGGCACAUGGGCAGUGAGCCAGUAGGGGUCUGGGGAGCAGGGUGAGUGGGAUGAGUGGGACUGCUCCUCCAGCUCAGAGCUUUCCAGCUCUACUCAGGUGGGACCUGGCCAAUGCCCAGCAUCCCUCUGUUGGAUCCAACACACAGAGAUGCCCUUGGCUGUGCUCUGAUGAGUGGCGAGGAGCUGAAGCCAGGCUGAUUCAAGCUGGAAAUGCAGCAUUUUAUUUAUUUGUUUGUUUGUUUUUAGCAGAAGCUGUGAUUUUAAAUAAGGGUCUAAAUCUGCAUCGGGUAUCUUUCUAAAAGAUGACCUCCUGCAACUGUGGGGCAGAUACAGAAACAUUGUGACCUUAAGAAUUUAUUUCUAUCAAAUAUGAACUUCAUUUCCAUCGUUUCCCACUGUCCAGAGAUGUCAGAGAUCAGUUUAAUUGCAUAGACUGUCAAGACUCCCUGGGAAUUAUGUGUAGUUUUUUUCCUAUCUCUCUCAGACAGGAUCCAUCUUCACUUUGAAUAAUUACUGCCAGAGCUGAAUCAGAAACUGCCAAAGCUGCAGGAAAGAAUCCAACAUUUUUCUACACAGAUUCAAAGCAAAUAUGAAUUCCCUUCCCUUUCCUUUUCCUUUCCCUUCCCUUCUACCACAACCCCUUUCACUUCAUUCCCUUUGAAUAACUUACCAUGAAUGAAUUUAGUGAGGGAAUGGUACACAAGAAAUCUUUGGGCAAAUCCUCAGCUGUUUCAAUUGGCUGCAGUAAAGCUACACUCUGUUACACCCUGAAGAUGCACCACAGUGGAUGUGAAAAGCUCUCUUGGAGAUUAUUCACCUCGUAUGAAUGCAACUGUUCCCAUCAGCUAUCUCAGCUUAAAGAUUGUGGUUAUUGAGUCAGGGGACAGAACAAUGGUAUGGGAUUGAGCCCAAGCAAUUAACUCUUCCCUCAACUUUAUUACUGAAUCCUGAACUGGCAUCCCACAGAGAACCUGUAACAAUCUUAUUCAGAUCAAAGCCCCCACUUUUUAAAUAAUGAGAAGUUUGGAAAACAAAAAUCAAAGGGCAGCCUAUGAUUCACACACAGAAAUUUUAUAAAAACCACAAAAUCAAAAGGCCCUUAAUUGAGGCCUUUCAACCCAACCAAGUAUUCAUUCCAAGAUAAUUACCUGCCAUAAAACCCUCUGCCACAGAGACACUGGACUAGAAAACCUUUGAAUUGCACACGGAACUUAAGGAAAGAGCUGGCUGGGAUGUAAUCCUGCUGAGACCUGAAAAGGAGAAGUUCUGGGGGGGAACCAAGCCUUCAGUGCAAGUCAUUCCUCUGUAAAAACAUGUCAUCAUUGAGAAGGCUCUACAACAAGAAAAGACUGGGGAAGAUCUGCCAGGAGCAAACCAGGUACUCUUAUAAAUAAGGAACAAAUAGCACUGUACAUCACAUUGGGUUAAAUGCCAUGAGUAGCAUCAAAUGGUAUCUUGAAGAACAGAUGAGUCAACAGCCAGAAAUGCAACUGAUUAAAACCAAAAUUAAACUGGCUCUAACUGAUGGUGCAUGAAGGGCUACAAUCAAAAAAAGAAAAGAAAAAGGGAAAGUCUUCUGCUGUUGGGAUUCCUCUGUUCCUUCAAGCUACAAUAGGUUCUGAGCUACACAACGUUAAAAUCGUCACUGUCCUUUUGGGCACCUCACCAAAGAUGAGGGCAACUCUUGGAGCAAUGCAGUGCUCAGUCCCUGCCAUAGACCUGCCUCACAAACAGUGGUUUGGUUUUGUGGUUGUUGGCCAAUAUCUGAAAGGAUAGAAUUUCCAGACUGGAAGGGAUCCACCAGCACCGGAGUCCAACUCCUGCUCACUCUCAAGGUACUGAUUAAGAAGCUUUAGACUGACAAAUAAGUACACUUAGGAAGUUCUCCAAAUAAAUGACUGAUUAUAAUUGCUAAGGACUUUCAGAUGAAAUGGCUUUAACAUAACUUUUACUGAAAAUUUGGUAUGACAGAGGGCUAUACUCAACAGGAACUAUUUCUGUCAAUCUAGAUGUAUUUCACCAUGGUUGCAUGGCUGAUCAAAUAUCUCUACAAACAAAUGCAAUUGUUGAAAUUUUGAAAUGAAACAAUUAUGGUCCUCUUAUUUUCUGAUCAAUUCAGAUAUGUGAAGACAAAUACGUAGUUAGCAUACAAAGAGGCAUCCCUCCAAACAUUACAUUUGGUUCCUAUGAAAAUUUUCUUGCUGUAGUAAGGCCAAAAAUACAUACAAUCUAUAAUAUAUAUAUUUGCUUUUGCUUUUUCUUCCCUCCUUUGUGAUAUUACUAUCAGUAUUUUGCAUAUUAUGCUAGGUUAUAUGGGUAGGUCCUGAACUGAUGCGGCCCAGCCCUGUGCCCCAGCUUUGCUGCUGGAUCAAAACAGAGGCUCAGAGAAGUUCAUUCCUUUAGACCUUUUUAUACGAUGAAAGCUAAGAAAAGACUGCAUCAGUGAACCCAGGACAGCUUUAGGAAAGAGCUCCCCUGACAUCACCAGUUUACAUCAUCUUUGUUUAAGCAAGCAAUUUAUUAUUCUCCUGGGGUGCAACUUCUGUCAGUCUGAGCUGGCUUCAGACUAGAUGUGCAAGUGAGAGAUUCAGCAAUACUCAUUGCUCAGAGCAUCUCACCGCCUGCUCAAGGUCAUAGGCAAACAAGUACAAAGGGAGCACCACUGUAGAAAGAUGAGGCAAAACAGCCUUCAGAAGCUGAACAACCUGUUCCAGUGGUUUUGAGACUGAUUUCAACCUGGGACUCAUUGUGUGCUUUCUCACAGCUUUCUACCAUGUUAGCUGAAGAAUUCUAUCUAGCAAACGAGAUGCUUUUUGUUAAGUGCAAACUCCCCCAUAGCCACAGACCACUGAAAGUUCCAACAGGACACACACGUGGUCCAGAGAAACCAUGUCCUUCGCUGAGCUGGCUCUCAGAACCACUACAGACUCUCAACACUGGUAAUAAGUAUUAGAUGCUUCUACCAAAAGAAUACAUCUG